CUCAGGUCAUUCUCAACUUUUUUCUCAAGUAGACAAAUAAAACCAGUUAUUUUCUGUAUUUACAAAUCUGUGACUAUAUUAGGAUUCAAGUCCAAGGGAAUCCCCUUCAUCAACCAUUGCUAUGUGAAAAUGUACUUAGCCUGUUUCCUGUAAUCAGAAGUUCCCCUUAUAUUUCCUCUCUGUUCUUGUCUAGUCUAUGCACUUAACAUAAUCCAUCAUACAAAACGGGCACAAACAACUUUUUAAGAAAACAUUUUACUUUUGCAUUGCUAAAUGGCAGAUAAAUAAAUUGAGGCAAUUUCCAAAUGAACCUGAUUUUUUGUGUUUUUAAUUGCUUUAAUGUUGCAUUUUAC